rnacentral:rRNA from 1 species
AUACGGAGGAUGCAAGCGUUAUCCGGAUUUAUUGGGUUUAAAGGGUUCGUAGGCGGAAAAUUAAGUCAGUGGUGAAAGCCUGCAGCUCAACUGCAGAACUGCCAUUGAUACUGAUUUUCUUGAAUUUAUAUGAAGUGGGCGGAAUGCGUCAUGUAGCGGUGAAAUGCACAGAUAUGACGCAGAACACCAAUUGCGAAGGCAGCUCACUAAUGUAAUAUUGACGCUGAGGAACGAAAGCAUGGGGAGCGAACAGGAUUAGAUACCCCAGUAGUCC